AUUGAACGCUGGCGGCAUGCUUUACACAUGCAAGUCGAACGGCAGCACGGGAGCAAUCCUGGUGGCGAGUGGCGAACGGGUGAGUAAUAUAUCGGAACGUGCCCAGUCGUGGGGAUAACGUAGCGAAAGCUACGCUAAUACCGCAUACGAUCUAUGGAUGAAAGCGGGGGAUCGCAAGACCUCGCGCGAUUGGAGCGGCCGAUAUCAGAUUAGGUAGUUGGUGAGGUAAAGGCUCACCAAGCCGACGAUCUGUAGCUGGUCUGAGAGGACGACCAGCCACACUGGGACUGAGACACGGCCCAGACUCCUACGGGAGGCAGCAGUGGGGAAUUUUGGACAAUGGGCGCAAGCCUGAUCCAGCAAUGCCCGCGUGCAGGAUGAAGGCCUCGGUUGGUAACG
rnacentral:rRNA from 1 species